rnacentral:rRNA from 1 species
UUUCCCUCCAGAGUGGAUCCUGAGUACGGCGGAACACGUGAAAUUCCGUCGGAAUCCGGGAGGACCAUCUCCCAAGGCUAAAUACUCCCUAGUGACCGAUAGUGAACCAGUACCGUGAGGGAAAGGUGAAAAGCACCCCGGAAGGGGAGUGAAACAGUUCCUGAAACCGUGUGCCUACAAGUAGUUAGAGCCCGUUAAUGGGUGAUAGCGUGCCUUUUGUAGAAUGAACCGGCGAGUUACGAUUUGUUGCAAGGUUAAGCGGAAAAAGCGGAGCCGUAGCGAAAGCGAGUCUGAAUAGGGCGCAUAAGUAACAGGUCGUAGACCCGAAACCAGGUGAUCUACCCAUGUCCAGGAUGAAGGUAAGGUAAUACUUACUGGAGGUCCGAACCCACGCACGUUGAAAAGUGCGGGGAUGAGGUGUGGGUAGCGGAGAAAUUCCAAUCGAACUUGGAGAUAGCUGGUUCUCUCCGAAAUAGCUUUAGGGCUAGCCUCGAGGUAAAGAGUCAUGGAGGUAGAGCACUGUUUGGACUAGGGGCCCUUCUCGGGUUACCGAAUUCAGAUAAACUCCGAAUGCCAUGUACUUAUACUCGGGAGUCAGACUGCGAGUGAUAAGAUCCGUAGUCGAAAGGGAAACAGCCCAGACCACCAGUUAAGGUCCCCAAAUAUAUGUUAAGUGGAAAAGGAUGUGGGGUUGCUUAGACAACCAGGAUGUUGGCUUAGAAGCAGCCACCAUUGAAAGAGUGCGUAAUAGCUCACUGGUCGAGUGACCCCGCGCCGAAAAUGUACCGGGGCUAAACAUAUUACCGAAACUGUGGAUGAACCUCUUUAGAGGUUCGUGGUAGGAGAGCGUUCUAAGGGCGGUGAAGUCAGACCGGAAGGACUGGUGGAGCGCUUAGAAGUGAGAAUGCCGGUAUGAGUAGCGAAAGAAGGGUGAGAAUCCCUUCCACCGAAUAUCUAAGGUUUCCUGAGGAAGGCUCGUCCGCUCAGGGUUAGUCGGGACCUAAGCCGAGGCCGAUAGGCGUAGGCGAUGGACAACAGGUAGAGAUUCCUGUACCAGUGCUAAUUGUUUAACCGAUGGGGUGACACAGAAGGAUAGGGAAUCGCACGAAUGGAAAUGUGCGUCCAAGCAGUGAGUGUGAGAAGUAGGCAAAUCCGCUUCUCGCGAAGCAUGAGCUGUGAUGGGGAAGGAAAUUAAGUACGGAAGUUCCUGAUUUCACGCUGUCAAGAAAAGCCUCUAGGAAGAGUAGUACUGCCCGUACCGCAAACCGACACAGGUAGAUGAGGAGAGAAUCCUAAGGUGAGCGAGAGAACUCUCGUUAAGGAACUCGGCAAAAUGACCCCGUAACUUCGGGAGAAGGGGUGCUCUAUUAGGGUGCAAGCCCGAGAGAGCCGCAGUGAAUAGGCCCAGGCGACUGUUUAGCAAAAACACAGGUCUCUGCAAAACCGUAAGGUGACGUAUAGGGGCUGACGCCUGCCCGGUGCUGGAAGGUUAAGAGGAGUGCUUAGCUUCGGCGAAGGUACGAAUUGAAGCCCCAGUAAACGGCGGCCGUAACUAUAACGGUCCUAAGGUAGCGAAAUUCCUUGUCGGGUAAGUUCCGACCCGCACGAAAGGCGCAACGAUCUGGGCACUGUCUCAACGAGAGACUCGGUGAAAUUAUAGUACCUGUGAAGAUGCAGGUUACCCGCGACAGGACGGAAAGACCCCGUGGAGCUUUACUGCAACCUGAUAUGGAAUGUUUGUACCGCUUGUACAGGAUAGGUAGGAGCCGAAGAGACGUGUGCGCUAGCAUACGAGGAGGCAAUGGUGGGAUACUACCCUGGCUGUAUGACCAUUCUAACCCGCCACGCUUAGCGCGUGGGGAGACAGUGUCAGGUGGGCAGUUUGACUGGGGCGGUCGCCUCCUAAAGAGUAACGGAGGCGCCCAAAGGUUCCCUCAGAAUGGAUGGAAAUCAUUCGCAGAGUGUAAAGGCACAAGGGAGCUUGACUGCGAGACUGACAAGUCGAGCAGGGACGAAAGUCGGGCUUAGUGAUCCGGUGGUUCCGCAUGGAAGGGCCAUCGCUCAACGGAUAAAAGCUACCCCGGGGAUAACAGGCUUAUCUCCCCCAAGAGUCCACAUCGACGGGGAGGUUUGGCACCUCGAUGUCGGCUCGUCGCAUCCUGGGGCUGUAGUCGGUCCCAAGGGUUGGGCUGUUCGCCCAUUAAAGCGGCACGCGAGCUGGGUUCAGAACGUCGUGAGACAGUUCGGUCCCUAUCCGUCGCGGGCGCAGGAAAUUUGAGAGGAGCUGUCCUUAGUACGAGAGGACCGGGAUGGACACACCGCUGGUGUACCAGUUGUUCCGCCAGGAGCAUCGCUGGGUAGCUAUGUGUGGCAGGGAUAAACGCUGAAAGCAUCUAAGCGUGAAGCCCCCCUCAAGAUGAGAUUUCCCAUUUCUUCGGAAAGUAAGAUCCCUGAAAGAUGAUCAGGUAGAUAGGUUUGGAGUGGAAGUGUAGCGAUACAUGGAGCGGACAAAUACUAAUCGAUCGAGGACUUAACCAAAA